rnacentral:lncRNA from 1 species
UUAUUAUGAUGCUUAAAAAAAUCCAUGUUCUAAAUCAUAAUUGCAUGACAGUUUAGAUCUUAUUACUAUUUAGUUGUAGCCUAACAAAUACUGUAUUCCUCUGUUUUCUCAAAAAAAAAAGUUCCUAGUUUAUGAAAUAGUAUUCAGAUAAAGCCUUAUGCUGCCCACCAGCCCACUAAAUGUAUUAAAUACCUGUCUCUAUGUAGCUUAUGUAAAAACUCAAUGUUGACUGUCCCAUGUCUGCUGCAUUUAAAAGCUCAUUGUGAUUCUAUCAUCUUGCUAUGCCAAUGCCUUAUGUUAUGGUGUCGUGUAUAUAGGCCAUGGUACAAAAGUGACUGUCAACUGCUUACUCAACAUCUAGUCAGAAAAGGUCUGAGGCAGUGCAAUAACGCUUUUAGUCAAACUGGCUCACUGUUGGAAUCAUUUACAUCUGUGUAUUCUUUACCGUAAAUACUGAAAUAGUAUUUUUUAACUGUUUUUUCAGGCUUGUAAUAAAUAUCUGUGUCAUAUCUACAUAGUCAAAAUACAUUGAGUAAUUCAGUUUAAAAGUGUUGCCUACUAACAAACUAAAGAGAAACAUCUACUGAUUUUCCCAUAUAAUUGCUUAUUUUCCAUUGCCAAUGUAGACCUGCCUGGAAUGGUGUCUUUCACCACUAUCAUGUGUAAAAUAAAGGGAGGCUAUUGUGGUGAAUUUUCACCUGUCUGACAUUAGCUCUUUCACUAGUCAAAGAUUGUACAUACCUCAGAGGUGACCUGACUACCGAGGUCCAGUUUUCAAAAGUGCAUCUUAUUUUAAUUUUUGUCUCCAAAAAUUAAAAUUGGAUGUCUACAAAACUAACAUAUGUAGACUUUCAAAGGCCAGCAUUGGUGGGGAAGGGAAAAGAAAGGAUGGAAGGAUGGAAGGAACGAAGGGUGAUGAGGAGAUGAAGGGAGAGGGAGGGGAAAGAAAAGAACAGAAAAAAGCUAAUAGAGGAAGGUAAAUCUCUAAAUGAGUUAAAUAAGGCUUAAAUAAAGUUUGCAUGGUAUAUUCUCUAAAAGUUGAUUGGCGUGGAGGAGGCUGUAUGUGUUUGUGUGUGUAUGCACAUGGGCAUGUCUAUGUGUAAGGUCAGAAGGGGGAGCCUGAAUUAUCUACUGCUUUUUUGGUUAACUAGUCCUAUUUUUAAAACUUUGUCUAACUCCCAAAACUUAUUAAUGCGACAUGUAGUACUGAAAUUAGAAGAUUAUUGUUAAACUCAGGACAGCUCUGUGGAGAUUCACAAAGUAAUUUCAUGAAAACUUAUGAGGAAGUUGUUCAGUACUGUCACUAAUUAACGCGCACAAAAAAAAAACUUGUUGUGAGUAAUUAUGGGUGAUUUCGCUGCAAAACAAAUUAGUAUACGAAUUAUUAUUUUUUCUCAAAUUGUAGAGGUUUUGUUUCUAUUAAGUCUCUAACAUUUCCCAGAUUAAAAAUACCAAAACUAUUUUUUAAACUUAAGGAAUAGAGUAUCAGAAAUUAACCAUUAAAUUAAUAGUUCUUAAAGUUGCUAUGUAUAUGGUAAGUAAAACAAUUUCCUAUUUCUAAGUUAUACAUGGUAUUAGAUUUCUAGGUACAGUCGCAUGAAGCAUUAUUGACUUUUAUUAACUUCAGUGUUUUAGAGGGUUUUCAUACUAGUCUAUGAAUGCUCUGAAUGCUGCAGGGAAAAAGAAGCACAAUCAGUAUUUCAUUAUUUAUGAAUUCUCAAUUGAAUUAUCCUAUCCUGUCCACACACAUAAUAGCAUUAGCAUUUCUUCUUAUACCAUGUUGAAAUACUUUUAAUACAAACUCUCAAUAGAAGCUUAAACAUAAGUGGUUAAGUCUUGUUGUCUAGUCUCAUUCACCUGCCUCAACAUGCUUUCUUUCAUUCUAUUUGCAUACAAAAUGUUCUUAUUUCAGUUUUGUAGACAGGAUAUGAGUUAGCAUACUCGUGUUUGUUCAGCUGUCCAUCCUGCAUCGUUACUACAAUGCCUUUUUCUGCCAUUUAAUGGUGUUUGUAUCAAUGUUCCCAUAUCUGCUGCAUUUUAACUCCAUAAAAAGGAAAUGUGAUUUCGUAUUAAUAGUUUUGUUGAUCAACUCAAUAUUUCUGCACCAAUCAGCAUACCUAUAUGCAUGUAGUAGUCUGUACAAUUGUUCAACAUCAAAAUACUUGUUUACUUUAUGUCAAAAUGUCUAUAAAAUUGCUGGCAUUGUUCUCCAUUUCAGUCUGGUAGAAUAAGCGAGAUAGAAAAUAAAUGUGUAAAUG